CUGACACUGGAUGAUGUGGUUGGGCCGGAUUCAGCCCAGGAAAUUCCCCGGGCCUUUAAAUGCAGAGAUGCAUUGGUUGGGAAACCAAGAACUUCGAUAUUGGAAAUCCAUCUCCACGUGUGGAGCCGUAUGGAUUUUCAACGAAGUGUUUGGCCGAUGUUAUAACAACAGUUAUUCACAUGUAAUCCAAUUCUGGAUUAAACUGAACGGGGCUUAUGUUCCAGUGUCU
rnacentral:RNase_MRP_RNA from 1 species